UACGGGGGGGGGCAAGCGUUGUUCGGAAUUACUGGGCGUAAAGGGCUCGUAGGCGGCCAACUAAGUCCGACGUGAAAUCCCCAGGCUUAACCUGGGAACUGCGUCGGAUACUGGAUGGCUUGAAUUCGGGAGAGGGAUGCAGAAUUCCAGGUGUAGCGGUGAAAUGCGUAGAUAUCUGGAGGAACACCGGUGGCGAAGGCGGCAUCCUGGACCAACACUGACGCUGAGGAGCGAAAGCGUGGGGAGCGAACAGG
rnacentral:rRNA from 1 species